rnacentral:rRNA from 1 species
AAGCCCAGAUUAGGUAGUAACAACCAUUUGAGUCUGGGAUUUCUGAAUGGGGAAACCCACUUACAUAAGUAAGUAUCCUUACCUGAAUACAUAGGGUAAGGAGGCGAACCGGGGGAACUGAAACAUCUAAGUACCCCGAGGAAAAGAAAUCAACCGAGAUUCCGAAAGUAGCGGCGAGCGAAAUUGGACUAGCCCUUAAGCUUUACACGCGUUAGACGAACGGUCUGGAAAGUCCGACGAUACAGGGUGAUAGUCCCGUAGUUGACGACGUGUGUUCAGUGAAAUCGAGUAGGGCGGGACACGUGAUAUCCUGUCUGAAUAUGGGGGGACCAUCCUCCAAGGCUAAAUACUACUGACUGACCGAUAGUGAACCAGUACCGUGAGGGAAAGGCGAAAAGAACCCUUGUCCUGUGACUGCGUACCUUUUGUAUAAUGGGUCAGCGACUUAUAUUCAGUGGCAAGGUUAACCAUCUAGGGGAGCCGUAGGGAAACCGAGUCUUAACUGGGCGUUCAGUCUCUGGAUAUAGACCCGAAACCAGGUGAUCUAGCCAUGGGCAGGUUGAAGGUUGAGUAACAUCAACUGGAGGACCGAACCGACUAAUGUUGAAAAAUUAGCGGAUGACUUGUGGCUAGGGGUGAAAGGCCAAUCAAACCUGGAGAUAGCUGGUUCUCCCCGAAAGCUAUUUAGGUAGCGCCUCGGACGAAUACUACUGGGGGUAGAGCACUGUUAAGGCUAGGGGGUCAUCCCGACUUACCAACCCUUUGCAAACUCCGAAUACCAGUAAGUACUAUCCGGGAGACACACGGCGGGUGCUAACGUCCGUCGUGGAGAGGGAAACAACCCAGACCGCCAGCUAAGGUCCCAAAUUACUACUAAGUGGGAAACGAUGUGGGAAGGCUCAGACAGCCAGGAUGUUGGCUUAGAAGCAGCCAUCAUUUAAAGAAAGCGUAAUAGCUCACUGGUCGAGUCGGCCUGCGCGGAAGAUGUAACGGGGCUAAGUAGUAAACCGAAGCUGCGGCAAUGUGCUUUUGCAC